AACGCACAUUGCGCCCCUCGGUAUUCCGGGGGGCAUGCCUGUUCGAGCGUCAUUACACCCCUCAAGCGUAGCUUGGUAUUGGGCUUCGCCCCCGCGGCGUGCCCGAAAAACAGUGGCGGUCCGGCGUGACUUUAAGCGUAGUAAAUUUUCAUCCCGCUUUGAAAGCUCAAUCCGUGGCCUGCCAGACAACCCCGAAAUUUCAAUCAUUGACCUCGGAUCAGGUAGGGAUACCCGCUGAACUUAA
rnacentral:misc_RNA from 1 species